rnacentral:rRNA from 1 species
AACGAACGCUGGCGGCAUGCCUAACACAUGCAAGUCGAACGAGACCUUCGGGUCUAGUGGCGCACGGGUGCGUAACGCGUGGGAACCUGCCUUUAGGUUCGGAAUAACUCAGAGAAAUUUGAGCUAAUACCGGAUGAUGUCUUCGGACCAAAGAUUUAUCGCCUUUAGAUGGGCCCGCGUUGGAUUAGCUAGUUGGUGGGGUAAAGGCCUACCAAGGCGACGAUCCAUAGCUGGUCUGAGAGAAUGAUCAGCCACACUGGGACUGAGACACGGCCCAGACUCCUGCGGGAGGCAGCAGUGGGGAAUAUUGGACAAUGGGCGAUAGCCUGAUCAAGCAAUGCCGCGUGAGUGAUGAAGGCCUUAGAGUUGUAAAGCUCUUUUACCCGAGAUGAUAAUGACGGUAUCGGGAGAAUAAGCUCCGGCUAACUCCGUG